AUUGAACGCUGGCGGCAUGCCUUACACAUGCAAGUCGAACGGCAGCUCGGGUUCUUUCUCCUUGUGGCGAUUGGCGAACGGGUGCGUAAUCCAUCGGAACAUUUCCUUUUGUUGUGGUUAGCCCGGCGAAAGCCCGAUUAAUUCCGCAUACGAUCUACUUAUGACAUCGGGGGCUCUUCUUUCCUCGCGCUUUUCUGUUGGCCGAUGGCUGAUGAGCGAGUUGGUGUGGUAAAGUCCUACCACGGCGACGAUCAGUAGCUGGUCUGAGAGGACGACAAUCGAAACUGGAACUGAAACACGGCCAAGAGGACUACGGGAGGCAGCAGUGGGGAAUUUGGGACAAUGGGCGAAAGCAUGAUCCAGCAAUGCCGCGUGAGAGAAGAAGGCCUUCGGGUUGUAAAGCAAUUUUGUCCGGAAAGAAAAGAAUGGACCAAAAACGGUCGGGGGAUGACGGUACCGGAAGAAUAAGCACCGGCUAACUACGUG
rnacentral:rRNA from 1 species